ensembl:lncRNA
AUGGUGAUUCUUUGCCUUAGGUGAAAUUCUUUGGAACACUGAGUCAGAGUCACUUCCAUAUCCAUAGGAACAGAAUCCCAGGAAGAAGCCCUGCAGAUGUCUGUUCGAGAGAAAAAGAAGAAUGGAGAGCGAGGGAAUUUAUUGCAGAGGAGUGAUAACAAAAUGGUUAUUUUCUACACUAUCCCUGGAUCAGUACAAGGUUGGAAUGGUCAUUCUCUCCUGGGAUGUGGGGAUGCAGAUUGGCAGAGGAAACAAGCUAUGCCUGAGAUAUGUCUCCCUUUCAAAAAGGACCUCAUGAAAUAAAUGAAGAAGAAGAACCAUGAUUGUUUUAAAAAAACUUUCCUUCUGCAACAAAUAUCAUCAAAAUCCAAUGGCAAACUAAAAGUCAGGACAACUGGUAAUGGCCUGAGUUGUAUGAUCCUGGCAUCUUCAAUGUCUGACCAAGCUCUUUCAUGCUCCAUGGUAUGUGCUUCAGCCAUUGGAAUAAAUUGUUCUCAUCCACCCCUUCUACAGUGGAAGUCCUCACAUGCUUUGUGCAGACACCCCACUAACUCACGGAUGGUUUUGAGGCUUGUCAGAUACCCUCAACCUGGUUUACUAGGACGUGGCCACUGAGCACGGUACAGCUUCUUGGAGGCACAGGUAAGAGUUGGAUGGCAGGUGCACACCAAAAGAGGAACGCAACCUGAAAAGGGCUCAGCAAGCCCUCACACCAGAGGUACUAAUCUUCCCUGAACACUCCGUACGCCCAACGAGGAGGGCAUCUUGUGUUAGAAGAUGCUGUUGCUGCCGCCUGUUGAGAACUGAAUAUGGGACCGAUGCCAAGUCAUUUCUGCCUACUUGCAGUUCUUCACAAGGGUGAAAAUGGUUAGUUAAAAUUGGCAGUACUUUGACGAGGGCCAUCUGAGAAUUCUGAGGGUCUCAAAGACCUACCUACCCAAGGGAAGCUGGCUAUUUACACUUUCCCAAAUGUAGUGGAAGUCUGAGGACUUCAUUUCCUUCAAAUCAUGCCAGUGUGACUUCACACUCUCUUUUUGCUAAUGUAGAUUGACUGAGGUGUGAACCUCACUGUUUAUUGAAAGACAUGAAAUAUUCUCUAGGUUUUUAAAAUGCGGUGGUUAUUCAUGAAUUAGAAAGGCUAGUGAAUAGAAGAAAAGACACGGAGGAAGAAAGCAUUAUUAGAUGCCUACUAUGUAUCAGACUGUGGUUAAGUGCUUUACAAAUAUUAUUUCAUUUAACCUCAUAACAACCCUGGCAAAGAAGUGCUAUAAUUAUCUCUAUCUUAGAGUUGAGGAAACUGAGGCAGACUGAGGUAAAGUGAUUUGCCCAGAGUCACACAGCUAAUAAGUGUCUGAAAUCAUAUUUGAACUCAGGUCUUCCUGACUCUAGGCCUGGCACUCUCUCUCUGACGUACACAGAAAAUUAAGUGUUCUAGAAAGAGUUGAGCAUUGCUGUGACUAAUCCCCAGAAUUCUAUAAGUAAUAGUCUUAACACAUGGAAGAAAAAGCACGAGGAUUCUUCUGUGCUGGGGUUCUCAGAGCCAUAUCAUCAAAAGCAGUGACUAAUCCCUUUGGUUUCUCCUGGCAAAUGGCACACAUAGUAUUAAAAGUAUUUGUUUUGGCUAGUUAGCAAGAAGACACAAUUAGUUCAAAGCAAAAGUAUUUAAUAAAAUGGCACAGCAAGAAAAGUAGCA